rnacentral:miRNA from 1 species
GGGGAGGAAAGAGGGGGGACUGUGGGGAAGUGGGUGACCAGAUUGGAGCUCUUCACAUGCUCAGCACUGGUGCAGAUGGAGAAGAAAAAUCAGAGAGCAUGUGAAGAGCUCCAAUCUGGUCACCCACUUCCCCACAGUCCCCCCUCUUUCCUCCCCCC